rnacentral:rRNA from 1 species
UACGAAGGGGGCGAGCGUUGUUCGGAUUUACUGGGCGUAAAGGGCGCGCAGGCGGCGCAUUUUGUCAGGCGUGAAAGCCCCGGGCUUAACCUGGGAACUGCGUUUGAUACUGGAUGUCUUGAGGUUGGGAGAGGGAUGCGGAAUUCCAGGUGUAGCGGUGAAAUGCGUAGAUAUCUGGAGGAACACCGGUGGCGAAGGCGGCAUCCUGGACCAAUUCUGACGCUGAGGAGCGAAAGCCAGGGGAGCAAACGGG